rnacentral:rRNA from 1 species
AAAGAGUCGCCGGGUUGCCGCAGGCCUCCCGGGUAACCUACCACCCUUUGUUUAUUACACUUUGUUGCUUUGGCAAGCCUGCCCUCGGGCUGCUGGCUCCGGCCGGCGAGCGCUUGCCAGAGGACCUAAACUCUGUUUGUUUAUACUGUCUGAGUACUAUAUAAUAGUUAAAACUUUCAACAACGGAUCUCUUGGUUCUGGCAUCGAUGAAGAACGCAGCGAAAUGCGAUAAGUAAUGUGAAUUGCAGAAUUCAGUGAAUCAUCGAAUCUUUGAACGCACAUUGCGCCCCCUGGUAUUCCGGGGGGCAUGCCUGUCCGAGCGUCAUUACAACCCUCAAGCUCAGCUUGGUGUUGGGCCCCGCCGUCCCGGCGGGCCCUAAAGUCAGUGGCGGUGCCGUCCGGCUCCGAGCGUAGUAAUUCUUCUCGCUCUGGAGGUCCGGUCGUGUGCUCGCCAGCAACCCCCAAUUUUUUCAGGUUGACCUCGGAUCAGGUAGGGAUACCCGCUGAACUUAAGCAUAUCAAUAAGCGGAG